CAGGAGCCUAAAGAAUGUCUUUCUUGGUCUGCUGGCCAUUUCAGAACUUUGGAAAUGUAAUGGUCAGUUCAUUAGAACGAAACAUUU
rnacentral:snoRNA from 1 species